rnacentral:rRNA from 2 species
UGGGGAAUAUUGCGCAAUGGGCGAAAGCCUGACGCAGCAACGCCGCGUGAGGGAUGAAGUACGUCGAGAUGUAAACCUCUUUCAGCAGGGACGAAGCGAAAGUGACGGUACCUGCAGAAGAAGCGCCGGCUAACUACGUGCCAGCAGCCGCGGUAAUACGUAGGGCGCAAGCGUUGUCCGGAUUUAUUGGGCGUAAAGGGCUCGUAGGCGGUCUGUCACGUCGGAUGUGAAAACUCAGUGCUUAACACUGGGCCUGCAUUCGAUACGGGCAGACUAGAGUUCGGUAGGGGAGACUGGAACUCCUGGUGUAGCGGUGGAAUGCGCAGAUAUCAGGAAGAACACCGAUGGCGAAGGCAGGUCUCUGGGCCGAUACUGACGCUGAGGAGCGAAAGCGUGGGGAGCGAACAGG